rnacentral:rRNA from 1 species
GACGAACGCUGGCGGCGUGCUUAACACAUGCAAGUCGAGCGGUAAGGCCCUUUCGGGGGUACACGAGCGGCGAACGGGUGAGUAACACGUGGGUGACCUGCCCUCAGCUCUGGGAUAAGCCUGGGAAACCGGGUCUAAUACUGGAUAUGACUCCAUGACGCAUGUUGUGGGGUGGAAAGCCUUGUGCGGCUGAGGAUGGGCCCGCGGCCUACCAGCUUGUUGGUGGGGUGAUGGCCUACCAAGGCGACGACGGGUAGCCGGCCUGAGAGGGCGACCGGCCACACCGGGACUGAGACACGGCCCAGACUCCUACGGGAGGCAGCAGU